rnacentral:rRNA from 1 species
UUCUAUUAGAUAUAAUUAAUAGUAUAAUCUGCUCAAUGAUUAUUCAAUAGCCGCUAUUACUGUGCUAAGGUAGCAUAAUCAUUUGUCUUUUAAUUGAAGACUAGAACAAAAGAUUUAACAAUUUAAUCAAUAUAUAAAAUUAAAUUUAUUAAUUUAUUUAAAAUGUAAAAAAACAUUUAUAAAAUAGGAAGACGACAAGACCCUAUUAAACUUAACUAUAGUUUAACUGGGGCAGUAAAUAAAUUAUUACUUUAAUAAAAAUAUAAAUAUAAAAGAUCCAAUAAAAUUGAAUAUAUGAUCAAGUUACUAUAGGGAUAACAGCGUAAUAUUUAUCUAAAGAUCUUAUUUAAAUAAAAGAUUGCGACCUCGAUGUUGAAUUAAUAACCUAAAUUAUUGCAGUAAAUAAAUAAAGGAAGUCUGUUCGACCUUUAAAAAAUUACA